GACGAACGCUGGCGGCGUGCUUAACACAUGCAAGUCGAACGGAAAGGCCCUGCUUUUGUGGGGUGCUCGAGUGGCGAACGGGUGAGUAACACGUGAGUAACCUGCCCUUGACUUUGGGAUAACUUCAGGAAACUGGGGCUAAUACCGGAUAGGAGCUCCUGCUGCAUGGUGGGGGUUGGAAAGUUUCGGCGGUUGGGGAUGGACUCGCGGCUUAUCAGCUUGUUGGUGGGGUAGUGGCUUACCAAGGCUUUGACGGGUAGCCGGCCUGAGAGGGUGACCGGCCACAUUGGGACUGAGAUACGGCCCAGACUCCUACGGGAGGCAGCAGUGGGGAAUAUUGCACAAUGGGCGGAAGCCUGAUGCAGCAACGCCGCGUGCGGGAUGACGGCCUUCGGGUUGUAAACCGCUUUCGCCUGUGACGAAGCGUGAGUGACGGUAAUGGGUAAAGAAGCACCGGCUAACUACGUGCCAGCAGCCGCGGUGAUACGUAGGGUGCGAGCGUUGUCCGGAUUUAUUGGGCGUAAAGGGCUCGUAGGUGGUUGAUCGCGUCGGAAGUGUAAUCUUGGGGCUUAACCCUGAGCGUGCUUUCGAUACGGGUUGACUUGAGGAAGGUAGGGGAGAAUGGAAUUCCUGGUGGAGCGGUGGAAUGCGCAGAUAUCAGGAGGAACACCAGUGGCGAAGGCGGUUCUCUGGGCCUUUCCUGACGCUGAGGAGCGAAAGCGUGGGGAGCGAACAGGCUUAGAUACACUGGUAGUCCACGCUGUAAACGGUGGGUACUAGGUGUGGGGUCCAUUCCACGGGUUCCGUGCCGUAGCUAACGCUUUAAGUACCCCGCCUGGGGAGUACGGCCGCAAGGCUAAAACUCAAAGGAAUUGACGGGGCCCCGCACAAGCGGCGGAGCAUGCGGAUUAAUUCGAUGCAACGCGUAGAACCUUACCUGGGUUUGACAUGGAUCGGGAGUGCUCAGAGAUGGGUGUGCCUCUUUUGGGGUCGGUUCACAGGUGGUGCAUGCCUGUCGUCAGCUCGUGUCGUGAGAUGUUGGGUUAAGUCCCGCAACGAGCGCAACCCUUGUUCACUGUUGCCAGCACGUUAUGGUGGGGACUCAGUGGAGACCGCCGGGGUCAACUCGGAGGAAGGUGGGGAUGACGUCAAGUCCUCAUGCCCCUUAUGUCCAGGGCUUCACGCAUGCUACAAUGGCUGGUACAGAGAGUGGCGAGCCUGUGAGGGUGAGCGAAUCUCGGAAAGCCGGUCUCAGUUCGGAUUGGGGUCUGCAACUCGACCUCAUGAAGUCGGAGUCGCUAGUAAUCGCAGAUCAGCAACGCUGCGGUGAAUACGUUCCCGGG
rnacentral:rRNA from 1 species